AAGACCUUGCGCUUUUGGAGCGGCCGAUGUCUGAUUAGCUUGUUGGUGAGGUAAAGGCUUACCAAGGCUUCGAUCAGUAGCUGGUCUGAGAGGACGGCCAGCCACACUGGGACUGAGACACGGCCCAGACUCCUACGGGAGGCAGCAGUGGGGAAUUUUGGACAAUGGGGGCAACCCUGAUCCAGCCAUGCCGCGUGAGUGAAGAAGGCCUUCGGGUUGUAAAGCUCUUUCAGCCGGAACGAAACGGUUACGGAUAACACCCGUGACUACUGACGGUACCGGAAGAAGAAGCACCGGCUAACUACGUGCCAGCAGCCACGGUAAUACGUAGGGUGCAAGCGUUAAUCGGAAUUACUGGGCGUAAAGCGUGCGCAGGUGGUUUUGUAAGUCAGAUGUGAAAUCCCCGGGCUUAACCUGGGAACU
rnacentral:rRNA from 1 species